AGCCCCGUAGUGUAGCGGUCAAUCCUCGGGGGACCAAUCAUCUCGCCCUCUGGAGGCGGGGACCUCGGUUCGAAUCCGAGCGGGGCUA
rnacentral:tRNA from 1 species